rnacentral:rRNA from 1 species
UGCAGUCGACGAUUAAAGCACCUUCGGGUGUGUAUAGAGUGGCGAACGGGUGAGUAACACGUGACCAACCUGCCUCUUACAUUGGGACAACCAAAAGAAAUUCUGGCUAAUACCAAAUACUCCGCACAUAUCACAUGAUGUAUGCGGGAAAGCUUUUGCGGUAAGAGAUGGGGUCGCGGCCCAUUAGGUAGACGGCGGGGUAGAAGCCCACCGUGCCGAUGAUGGGUAGCCGGGUUGAGAGACCGACCGGCCACAUUGGGACUGAGAUACGGCCCAGACUCCUACGGGAGGCAGCAGUGGGGAAUAUUGCGCAAUGGGGGAAACCCUGACGCAGCAACGCCGCGUGCGGGAUGAAGGCCUUCGGGUUGUAAACCGCUUUCAGCAGGGAAGACAUCGACGGUACCUGCAGAAGAAGCCCCGGCUAACUACGUGCCAGCAGCCGCGGUAAUACGUAGGGGGCGAGCGUUAUCCGGAUUCAUUGGGCGUAAAGCGCGCGCAGGCGGUUGCUCAAGCGGAACCUCUAAUCUCGGGGCUUAACCUCGAGCCGGGUUCCGAACUGGACGACUCGAGUGCGGUAGAGGCAGAUGGAAUUCCCGGUGUAGCGGUGGAAUGCGCAGAUAUCGGGAAGAACACCAACGGCGAAGGCAGUCUGCUGGGCCGUCACUGACGCUGAGGCGCGAAAGCUGGGGGAGCGAACAGGAUUAGAUACCCUGGUAGUNNNNGCCGUAAACGAUGAGCGCUGGGUGUGGG